rnacentral:ncRNA from 3 species
UACAGAGGGUGCAAGCGUUAAUCGGAUUUACUGGGCGUAAAGCGUGCGUAGGUGGCCAAUUAAGUCAAAUGUGAAAUCCCCGAGCUUAACUUGGGAAUUGCAUUCGAUACUGGUUGGCUAGAGUAUGGGAGAGGAUGGUAGAAUUCCAGGUGUAGCGGUGAAAUGCGUAGAGAUCUGGAGGAAUACCGAUGGCGAAGGCAGCCAUCUGGCCUAAUACUGACACUGAGGUACGAAAGCAUGGGGAGCAAACAGG